GUGGGGAAUAUUGCACAAUGGGCGAAAGCCUGAUGCAGCAACGCCGCGUGAAGGAUGAAGGCCUUUGGGUCGUAAACUUCUGUCCUUGGGGAAGAAAAAAAUGACGGUACCCCUGGAGGAAGUCCCGGCUAACUACGUGCCAGCAGCCGCGGUAAUACGUAGGGGGCGAGCGUUAUCCGGAAUUAUUGGGCGUAAAGAGUACGUAGGUGGUUUUUUAAGCGCAGGGUUUAAGGCGAUGGCUCAACUGUCGUUCGCCCUGUGAACUGGAAGACUUGAGUACAGGAGAGGAAAGCGGAAUUCCUAGUGUAGCGGUGAAAUGCAUAGAUAUUAGGAGGAACACCAGUGGCGAAGGCGGCUUUCUGGACUGUAACUGACACUGAGGUACGAAAGCGUGGGGAGCAAACAGGAUUAGAAACCCCGGUAGUCC
rnacentral:rRNA from 1 species